rnacentral:rRNA from 1 species
GAAGUUGGAGUCGCUAGUAAUCGCAGAUCAGCAACGCUGCGGUGAAUACGUUCCCGGGCCUUGUACACACCGCCCGUCACGUCAUGAAAGUCGGUAACACCCGAAGCCGGUGGCCUAACCCUUGUGGAGGGAGCCGUCGAAGGUGGGAUCGGCGAUUGGGACGAAGUCGUAACAAGGUAACCGUACCGGAAGGUGCGGCUGGAUCACCUCCUUU